GACGAACGCUGGCGGCGUGCCUAAUACAUGCAAGUCGAACGCUGAAGGCGGAGCUUGCUCUUCUGGACGAGUUGCGAACGGGUGAGUAACGCGUAGGUAACCUGCCCGGUACCGGGGGAUAACUAUUGGAAACGAUAGCUAAUACCGCAUAACAGUAGAUGUUGCAUGACAUUUACUGAAAAGGUGCAAUGGCAUCACUACCAGAUGGAGCUGCGUUGUAUGGGCUAGUGGUUGGGGUAACGGCUCACCAAGGCGACGAUGCAGAGCCGACCGGCGAGGGGGAUCAGCCAGACUGGGACUGAGACCCGGCCCAGUCGCCUUCGGGAGGCAGCAGUAGUGAAUCUUGGGCAAGGGGCGGAAGUCAGAGCGAGCUACGCCGCGGGAGUGAAGAAGAAUUUCGGAUCGGAGAGGUCGGUUGUAGGGGAGGAACGAGUGUGAGAGUGGAAAGUACACACUGUGACGGUAUCUGACCAGAAAGCAACGGCUAACUACGUG
rnacentral:rRNA from 1 species